UCUCGAUGCGCGCAACGACGCAUUCGGCGCAUGCGCACAACGCUACUUCAUGUAAUGCGUGCAACAAUGUUUGUGUUAUGCGCACAACGUCAUUUUGGUUUAUGCGCACGUUGUUUUGGAUUCAGCAAACGUUUUAUCUCGUGCGCAUAAUGACGUCUUGAGAUACGCGCGCAAUUGUUGAGUUCUGCGCAUGCGCCAACGAAUUUACGAGGGAAAACUUGUUACUCGAGACGUUAAUAUAUUUCUCUCGUUUUCAGCUUAUGGUAGGAGCUUGACAUUUCGUGAGAGAUAUGAAAAAUGUGUUCUACAUUGAAUAUUGAUGGAGAAAAUUAAUGUGACACCUUGCAAAUUGAAUUAAUCUUGAGAAUAAUCCCAUUUUUCUGCAUUCCUACAUCUUCACCCUUACAGUGUCUCUCAUAGAUGUCAACACACACCAUGCAUCCGAAUGACCCUGUUUUCAUCCGGCACGUACUCAGCCAAUUCCUGCUCUAUAUUUAAAUAAUUUCUCAAGCAUUUUAUAUGGAAAUUAACUGAACAAAAAUUUGCAGGGACGUGUUUACUCAAGAAUGAAAUUUGGGUUCAAUAUUUCGAGCAAAAUUCCUGGUGGUCGACGAUUCAUGACUGAUACAAAAUUUGAGGGUAAACGCGAUGUGUAAUUACCUACUUCGUUCAAAUUUAUUAUCGAUAAACACACCGCAUGAACGUGACAGGAAAAAUGGCAUGGCCGAGCAUCGUGAAUGAAAUCGAAGCUGCAAUUUUUGCUUUCUCAUUUAUCACGAUUGGACACACCUGUUCGUUUCGUGACAAAUCUUCCAUUCAACAUUCCUGCUAUCAACAUCUCCCGGAAAGUAUUGUUAUUAACGUCGACGACGCUGUCAAUUUAUUUUGUGUUAUUGGGAUUUUGCAAAUUAUUUAAAUC